AUCCAGCUGACUAAUCCCAAAUAGGACGAAACCUGAAUCCUGGAU
rfam:Schistosoma curassoni strain Dakar, Senegal genome assembly, scaffold: SCTD_contig0025112